GCCGCGGAGUUCCGUCCUUCGCCGCUAGGGGCGCUCGGCCCGCGUCUCUCUCCCUUUCCUCCGUGUCGCAGCUUUUCUGCCCGCCAGGGGGCGCCCUGCGAGGGAGGCGAAGGCGGAGACCCAGUGAGCGGCCAGGAGGUCAGGAGCAGAAGUCGAGCGUAUUAUUUUCUGAGAUGCCACCACAGCGGCAAUAAUCAUAAUAUUAUUUAUUUAUACUCGCCCAUCUGGCAAGGAUGCUCAUUGCCAGAAAAUGGAAGGGGGAAAAGGUCCCGACAAAGGAGGAAUGGCAAGUAAAGUUAUUUGAAUACAUUGAGCUGGCUAAAAGGACAGGAACAACUAGGAAUAGAACAAGCCAAAAGUUCACUAAGGAAUGCUUAGAAAAACAUUGUUUUUCUAAGGAAGUCAGACUAUCCUCCACCAGGGCCAGGGCCUUCUCAGUGAUGGCUCCGACCUGGUGGAAUGCUCUGUCCUAGAAAACCAGGGCCCUGCAGGAUUUAACCUCCUUCCGCAGGGCCUGUAAGACAGAGCUAGUCCACCUGGCUUUCAAUCUGAACUCAGCCUGAUCUUUUAUUUCCCUUCCCUCCCCUCCCCCUCCCCUUUUUAUGAGGAUGACCUGCUCUGAGACCCCACAGCUAAUUUUCCCCUGACCUCCUCUCUGGCCCAAGUAGGACCAAUUCAGCCAGCUAGCCCUGGGGAUUAUUUAACUGAUUUUUGAAUUUUAUUGUCAUUCAUGUUUUUAUACUGUAUUUUAUGCUGUUUUUAUAAUUGUUUUAAAUUUGUUGUUAGCUGCCCUGAGCCCAGUUUUGGAACCGGGAAGGGCGGGGUAUAAAUAAAUAAAUAUUAUUAUUAUUAUAUCUCUUCAAUUCUUUGAUUCUAUUAACUCAUUCUGCUCCUUCGCAAUCUCCUUAUCCUCCUUUAACACCAAACACCUUCCUAGCUGGUCUCCUGCUACAAAGUUGUGGCUACCAGCAACUGGCAUUCAGAAUCAUGGCUGCCUUGACAGUCGAGGUGGAACACAGUCCUCAGUCAGCAGCCAUGGAGAGUCCUGUGCCCCCUAAGUAUAGAGGAAGAUGGCACCUGCCCAGUUUCACCACCCACCUUGAUUGCACCGCUUUGGGGAUUUAUAGCUUAUUGGACUCCAUCCUGCCCCUUCCCUGUCCUUUGUGUCUCAAGGGAUCACCAUUUCCCUCUGGUUUACGGAAGAGUCACAGCUCAGUGCGAAAGCGCCUGCAGGCAGCCUGGGAGAGGCCCCUGCCAGCCAGUGAAGGCAAUAUUGAUGAAGUGUGUUGUUGUUGUUUAGUCGUUUAGUCGUGUCCGCCUCUUCGUGACCCCCUGGACCAGAGCACGCCAGGCACUCCUGUCUUCCACUGCCUCCCGCAGUUGGGUCAAACUCAUGCUGGUAGCUUCGAGAACACUGUCCCACCAUCUCAUCCUCCAUCAUCCCCUUCUCCUUGUGCCCUCCCUCUUUCCCAACAUCAGGGUCUUUUCCAGGGAGUCUUCUCUUCUCAUGAGGUGGCCAAAGUCUUGGAGCCUCAGCUUCAGGAUCUGUCCUUCCAGUGAGCACUCAGGGCUGAUUUCCUUCAGAAUGGAGAGGUUUGAUCUUCUUGCAGUCCAUGGGACUCUCCAGAGUCUCCUCCAGGACCAGAAUUCAAAAGCAUCCAUUCUUCGGCGAUCAGCCUUCUUUAUGGUCCAGCUCUCACUUCCAUACAUCACUACUGGGAAAACCAGAGCUUUAACUAUAUGGUCCAUUGUUGGCAAGGUGAUGUCUCUGCUUUUUAAGAUGCUGUCUAGGUUUGUCAUUGCUUUUCUCCCAAGAAGCAGGCAUCUUUUAAUUCUGUAGCUGCUGUCACCAUCUGCAGUGAUCAUGGAGCCCAAGAAAGUAAAAUCUCUCACUGCCUCCAUUUCUACUGAUGAAGUGUAGGUGGGCCCAAGUCAGCUUUCCAUGUCCCCCCCCCCAUUUCAUCAGGUAUCCCCUGUGACCUCUGUCUCUCUGGGCUCUCCUUUAAAACCAAGCUCUCUCCCUGGCCCCAGCCAGCCUUUCCCUGAAGGGUGAUCUAGCUCUCUUCAUCUUGUGCUGAUCUAGUGAUUUGUGAUGUAUUUUGGAGAGGUUUUAUGAAUUUUAUUGAUUUUAUGCUGUGCUAUUUAGUGUUCUGUUUGUUAUGGAAAAAACCCAAAUGGCCAAAGUACGUCGAGAAGGAUUGUGAGAAAGCUAGCCGUGCACCGAGCAAGUCGGCCAAGACAGUAGAAGCAGAGAAAUGCUUCGUGAGCGUCGGAGGCCAUUAGCUAUGUUGUGUUGCUGGCAUUGUAAUGCUAAUAAACUGGUUUUGACCUUUCAAGCCUUUUGUGGCUUGGGACCCUCAUACUUACGGGACCGCCUCUCCUGGUCUGCCCCACAGAGGACCCUAAGGUCCAUGAAUAAUAAUAGCUUGAAGGUCCAGGGCCCUAAGGAAGCCAGACUAUCCUCCACCAGGGCCAGGGCUUUCUCAGUGAUGGCCCCGACCAGGGCCCUGCAGGAUUUAACCUCCUUCUGUCAGGCCUGUAAGACAGAGCUAUUCCGCCUGGCCUUUAAUUUGAAUUCAGCCUGAUCUUUUAUUCCCCUUCUCUUCCCUCCCCCUCCCCUUUUAUGAAGAUCACCCGCUCUGAGACCCCACAGCUAAUUCUCCCCUGGCCUCCUCUCUGGCCCAAGUAGGACCAAUUCAACCAGCUAGCCCUGGGGAUUAUCUAAUGCUUAUUAGAUGGAUUUCCCCCAAAUUGAUUUCUGAACUUUGAAUUUUAUUAUUUACAUUUUAUACUGUAUUUUAUGCUGUUUUUUGUUGCAUCAAUUAAGUGCUUCAAAUUUGUUGUAAGCCGCCCUGAGCCCGGUUUUCUGAACCGGGAAGGGCGGGGUAUAAAUAAAAAUGUAUUUAUUUAUUUAUUUAACACCAUUUAAUUGAUAUGACUGGCAUCCAGAUUGACUGGCCGUCCGAGGCAACUGAACCGGGGUACCAAUAAUCAUUUUGGUAUUUUCCCUAACAACUGGCGGUAUAGUUGUUUUUCCUUUUGCAAAAUACAUAAAUAUCCGUUCUGUGCAAGGACCCUCCGAUCCCAUUUCUACAUCUGGACCAUGCCUGAUCCACUUGAUCACCGUCCCAACUCACACAGCAGUGGCAGAACCUACUACGCCUGAGCAACAGGCUGGACAUGACACGGAGCUGAGGAUGGGACAACUAAGUUUCUCAGCCGUUUGGUUCCCAAAACUUCCCCUCCCCCAGAGACCACCUGAAAAUUGCCGAGAGCCUUGGUGAGCCAUAGUUAAUCUUUCUGCCUGUUGCACCCAUUGCAAUAAUAAUAAUAAUUAUAAUAAUAAUAGUAUUUAUACCCCACCCAUCUGGCUGGGUUUUCCCAGCCACUCUGGGCGGCUUCCAAUCAAGUGUUAAAAACAAUACAGCAUUAAAUAUUAAAAAUUUCCCUAAACAGGGCUGCCUUCAGAUGUCUUUUAAAAAUAGAAUAGCUGCUUAUUUCCUUCACAUCUGAAGGGAGGGUGUUCCACAGGGCGGGCGCCACCACCGAGAAGGCCUUCUGCCUGGUUCCCUGUAACCUCACUUCUUGCCAUGAGGGAGUAUUUUGCAAUGUGUUGUGCUACGUGCUGUACGGUUUUUUAUUGAACUUUUGCAGACAGACCACAGACCACUCAGAUGAACUCUUGGGCCACUGCUUUGGGAGCCCCUCUUCUAAGAAACAAGCCAGGUGGAAGAGAGACCCUCUCUGUGAUCUGCUGGAAAACCUGCAUGGAACCCAGCCCAAGAAUACCAAGAGAGGUGUGCAUUUUACACAAACGGCAAGUGUGCGUUGACUCUUAAAAGUACCAGGGCAGCACAGCUGGUCUUCCCCUUGAAAGCCACCCCCCCAACAGAGUAUAGUGUAGUGUUAGUGUAUUCCACUAACAGAGAGACCAUCAUCCCACUUCUCUAAGUGGGUGCUUGUAAAAUGCGAAGGUUGUAAUUCAGUUUGAGACCCAAGGAGGAGUCCCUUUGAAUUCCUGUAAUCCAGUUUGACAGGCCUCACCUCAUUCAGCUGGUGUACUUUUUGCCGACAAGAACUUCUUGCGUCUUGGCGAACCCCUCCGCCUCCACCUUGGCUCAGCCGUUUUAUCUCCAAGCCACAGAGAAAAUGGGUGGGGUGGGGUGGGGUGGGGUGGGAGGUGGCCUUCCUGGUUCCUGUGCGCAGAAGCCCCCGCUCUGGGCUCUGAAGCAGGGUCAGCCUUGGCGGAGCUGUGAAGCCAUGGCCAGAUGCAAGACCACAGAUGGCACCUGGCAGGGACUGCCCCCCCCCCACUGAAGCUGGGAGAAGCCCUCUUGGAUGAAAAGGAUAAGGAAUGGUCAUGAGAUGCCUGGAUUGAACCCUGGGAAAACUCAGCUAGCAGUGAGAGGAAGAACUGGACACCCCAUGGGAUUAUCGGGAGGAAUCUUGCAGUUACGACUGACAGGCAGAGAGCUGGAAGUCACUUUUAUUCAUCUCUCUCUCUUGCUUUAUUCUGUUAUUGUUCUUAUUCCUUUGCUCUUAUCCAUCACUUUCAUUUUUCUAUUUCUUCCUGUUAUUUUAUUACUUCCUUUUAAGACUCUCAAUGGAUUUUGGAAAGAAUUGCAUGCAGGUGAAGAUGAUGGAAAGCUGGUGAAGGACCCCCGUAUGAGAGGCAAGGAAGGGGAGAUUUCCCGGGGGGGGGGAGGCUGGGGGAAGGAAGGGCUGCCCCCAGGUGAGAGCUGGGAGGGCACACCCUUCCCUCUAUGAGAGAAAAGUUAGCAUAUAUCAGUGAGAGGGG